GAUGAACGCUGGCGGCGUGCCUAAUACAUGCAAGUCGAGCGAACAGAUGAGGAGCUUGCUCCUCUGACGUUAGCGGCGGACGGGUGAGUAACACGUGGAUAACCUACCUAUAAGACUGGGAUAACUUCGGGAAACCGGAGCUAAUACCGGAUAAUAUAUUGAACCGCAUGGUUCAAUAGUGAAAGACGGCUUUGCUGUCACUUAUAGAUGGAUCCGCGCCGCAUUAGCUAGUUGGUAAGGUAACGGCUUACCAAGGCAACGAUGCGUAGCCGACCUGAGAGGGUGAUCGGCCACACUGGAACUGAGACACGGUCCAGACUCCUACGGGAGGCAGCAGUAGGGAAUCUUCCGCAAUGGGCGAAAGCCUGACGGAGCAACGCCGCGUGAGUGAUGAAGGUCUUCGGAUCGUAAAACUCUGUUAUUAGGGAAGAACAAAUGUGUAAGUAACUAUGCACGUCUUGACGGUACCUAAUCAGAAAGCCACGGCUAACUUCGUG
rnacentral:rRNA from 1 species